GGAAAUGUGCCUGAAAUUUCAAAGGAUCACUAUGAUAAAGUGAGCAUAGAGGUGUACCAGUCCUCUCAUUUCCU
rnacentral:tRNA from 1 species